UACGUAGGUGGCAAGCGUUGUCCGGAAUUACUGGGCGUAAAGCGUGCGCAGGCGGCGCGUUAAGACAGGUGUGAAAGCCCCGAGCUUAACUUGGGAAUUGCGCUUGUGACUGGCGUGCUGGAGUGUGGCAGAGGGAGGUGGAAUUCCACGUGUAGCAGUGAAAUGCGUAGAGAUGUGGAGGAACACCGAUGGCGAAGGCAGCCCCCUGGGCCAGCACUGACGCUCAUGCACGAAAGCGUGGGGAGCAAACAGG
rnacentral:rRNA from 1 species